UCAAAUUCAAAAACUUCAAUACAAUCUUUAUCUUUGUGACUCCUCCUUUCUUUCUUCCAUUGCAUAUACAAGAUUCUCUCUCUUCUUUUCUUUUUUUCAUCCUCCAUCUCUCUUAAAACAACAACUCACGCACAACAACAAAGCUGGUAACCUUCCUCCGUAUCAAAUCGGCACACCACCAUCUCAUCCUUUAAUAUGAAACCAAAAAUGCCUACAACGAUUGUUUUUCCGAGGCAAAAAAAUUGGUCUGAAACCCUAACAAAUUAAUCACGUCAAUCAGAUACAUGGAAUAACUUUGAUUUUGAUUUCAAGCAAAAUAUCAAUUGAAGCGGCGAUGUAUUGAAGUAACUUUGGUGAUCUUUGGAUUUUCAUGAAGGAAUGUUCAAAGGGCUUCUCAAAAAACAAGACAAGUAACAGUGAUUUUGAAUACAAGGAAAAUCAAUUGAAGCUGCAAUGGAAGGAACCUCCAUCAAGAAGGAAACACCGUCGAAUCUGCUAUUAGCAAGGACACAUAGCAGGAACCAGUUCAAGUGAUAUUAUUAUUGUUAAUGUUUUUUUUUAUGGUGUUUUGAUUUGAUGGUGUGCUUUGUGACAGUUUUAGUUGAUGUUAGUUUUAUUGUUCUGUUAUUUAUAAGCCUAAGAAAAAUUAAGAACUCUCAAUCUCUCAUAUUUACAUUUAAAGAAAAAUCUGGUAUAAAAAAAUGUCAACCAGCUUUGGAUUAUGAAAAAAGAUGUUUCUCAUUAUUGUGUUUCAUUCAUUUUCGUAUUUCAUAUCAUUAUAUUUUAUUCCUUCAAUUUGUAAUGAUGUUGCUUCCUGCUCUACUUAGAUCUUUGCUUUAUUUUUUUGUUUUCAUGUGCAAUCAGAGGUUCUUGUUGCUCAUCAAUUUGAGGAUAAAUAAAGGUAUGCCAUGUUAACAAUCAAAACAACUAUCCAUUUUCUUUCUAACGUGAUGAGAAUUUGCUUCAUCUUUUCUCAAGGUUUUUUUGUUCCGUCCUGUUUAUUUCGAAAUAUCUUAUUUGAAUUGAGGGGAUGAAGACUAUCAAAUUGAGGGGUCAAGUUUAUGAAUUUCCAUGGAUUAGUUUUUUAUGAAACUAUAUUUAUAUGAAUUAGAUUUGCUUGAAUUAGUAUAAUGAAUAUGAAAAAAUAUGAUUAUUUUUGGAAUUUUUUUAUUUUUUCCUGAUCAAUUUUACAAUUUUACUUUAGUUGCAUACUUUUUUUUUUACUUUAUGAUUAAUUGUAGGAUAAAGAUUUCUGAAAACUUUAAUCCUUAGAUUUCUAGGAAUUUUGAUUAUGAUGAUGCAAAGUUUAUUUCUAUCACAUGUAAAAGAAGUUGCAUAAGAUAUUUUUCAUCAAUACUUUCAUUGGUUGAUUGGUUAGAACAAUACUUGAAUGAGUUAAUUGGUUUGUGUGUUGAAACAUAAUGCUUUUAAUAACACUAAGUAGUGUUGUGCUAAUUUGAAGCUCUAAUUUUUAACGACCAAACCACCUGUUUUAAUGAUAUUGAAUGAAAGGAUGCAUUUUUUGGCAGACUUCACGUUUUGACCUUGAACUCCUACUUUUGGUAAUUCUUUCACAGUCAAACAAAAAAAAUUGGCAAGGCAGAACACACAGUGUUGUGUCACUUUUAGCUCUGAUUUUCUUCUUUUCUUUGUGCAUCUUGACCAUCCCAUUUUGGUGAAAAACCAAAAGCUGUUACUUUGCAAUCUUAUUCUACAAGCUGUGACAAAUGUUUUCAAAAUUAAAAUUUCAAAAAUCCCUCCGAAGUUUAAAAAACAAUGCUUACCUUUGUGACUCCUCUUUUUCUUCCUUUGUGAUUCCUCUUUUGGACAAUUUUUUGAAUUGACCAUUGAGAAGCAAUUGUUAUCGUGUAAUGUUGUAAUGGGCCAUAUUUUUCGUAAGCCCAGUUUAAUUCCCAACACAAACAAAAAAAAUUGGCAAGGUCAGAUCAUUUUAAUUUGCAUUAUUAUAAGGAUUCUCCCUCUUCUCUGUUUUUUUUGCCUCCUCCAUCUCCAAUAAUAGGUGAGAUGGGGUGCAUUUCCAUCCUCACUUUGGUUGAUUAAUGUCUUGAACACAAUCAGGUGAGAUCUAUAUAAAUUUUUUUCCCUGUUCUUGCUUUUAUUGUUGAACACAAUCAGUUUUAUUUCUUUUUUUUUAUUUUGUAUUUAAAUGACAACACUGACAGAUAAAUUUGGCCAAUCGAAAGGAUUUGCUUACCUAGAAUUUGUUGAGGUACAUGUUGUUCAGAAUGAUCUCAUUUUAAAUGAAACUGAAUUGCAUGGCCGACAGCUAAAGGUAUUUUUAUCUGAUUAUCUGUGUAAAUUCAAUUAAUCACUCCAUGUUUACAUUCAUUUUUACUUGAAUUAUGGUUUUUCCUUCAGUCGUCUGCGAAAUGUACAAAUGUGCCUGGAUUGAAGCAGUAUUUUGGAAGAAGACCUGCUGGUUUACGAGCAAGGAGGCCUUUCAUGCCUUCACCAUUCUAUCCACCACAUGCUUACUGGUUUAUGAAAGAAUCCUACAUCCAUAUGAUAUGACAAGAUGAUCAAGAGAAUAGUUGAAUGGUUGUUCCAGAUGCUCAUAAGAAAGAGGUAAGAUGAAGGGAAGUUACAAAGGGAGAUAGCGCCAACACAAAUUGUUACAGAACAAUGAGAUAAUUUUGAGGAUUAUAUUUAGUUUUAUUAUAGUGUGUAUUAUUUCUUUGAUUUUCCUUUCCAUUACUUAAUUUCAUUUUAUUAUUACUACUACGUGCAAGAAUUAUAACUAUAGAGGACAUUAAGAGCAUACCACUAGCCUAUUGUUACUCCUACUGUCAUGAUAGAGAUUGUAUGGGAACUAGGCCUUGAAUCUUUUCUAGGCAUGUGAUCUAUUUGUAAUCUUUUUAGAUAUGAUUUGUAGCAUAAUUAAAGUAGUUAAUGAUUAUGUAAAUCCGAAUAUUUUUCAAUGAUAAAGAAGUUUUUUUUU